GGGCCCGUAGUCUAGCGGUAGGAUGUCGCCCUUGCGCGGCGGAGGUCCCGGGUUCAAAUCCCGGCGGGCCCACCA
rnacentral:tRNA from 1 species